rnacentral:snRNA from 1 species
GUACUCACUUUGGCAGCACAUAUACUAUAACUGGAACAAUACUGAGAAGAUUAACAUGGCCUCUGCACAAGGAUGAUAUGUAAAUUUGUGAAGUGUCAAUGUUUUGC